rnacentral:rRNA from 1 species
GAUGAACGCUGGCGGCGUGCCUAAUACAUGCAAGUCGAGCGAACAGACGAGGAGCUUGCUCCUCUGACGUUAGCGGCGGACGGGUGAGUAACACGUGGAUAACCUACCUAUAAGACUGGGGUAACUUCGGGAAACCGGAGCUAAUACCGGAUAAUAUAUUGAACCGCAUGGUUCAAUAGUGAAAGACGGUUUUGCUGUCACUUAUAGAUGGAUCCGCGCCGCAUUAGCUAGUUGGUAAGGUAACGGCUUACCAAGGCAACGAUGCGUAGCCGACCUGAGAGGAUGAUCGGCCACACUGGAACUGAGACACGGUCCAGACUCCUACGGGAGGCAGCAGUAGGGAAUAUUCCGCAAUGGGCGAAAGCCUGACGGAGCAACGCCGCGUGAGUGAUGAAGGUCUUCGGAUCGUAAAACUCUGUUAUUAGGGAAGAACAAAUGUGUAAGUAACUAUGCACGUCUUGACGGUACCUAAUCAGAAAGCAACGGCUAACUACGUG